rnacentral:rRNA from 1 species
UGAGGAAGAUAAUGACGGUACUCAACAAGGAAGUGACGGCUAACUACGUGCCAGCAGCCGCGGUAAAACGUAGGUCACAAGCGUUGUCCGGAAUUACUGGGUGUAAAGGGAGCGCAGGCGGGAAGACAAGUUGGAAGUGAAAUCCAUGGGCUCAACCCAUGAACUGCUUUCAAAACUGUUUUUCUUGAGUAGUGCAGAGGUAGGCGGAAUUCCCGGUGUAGCGGUGGAAUGCGUAGAUAUCGGGAGGAACACCAGUGGCGAAGGCGGCCUACUGGGCACCAACUGACGCUGAGGCUCGAAAGUGUGGGUAGCAAACAGGAUUAGAUACCCUGGUAGUCCACACCGUAAACGAUGAUUACUAGGUGUUGGAGGAUUGACCCCUUCAGUGCCGCAGUUAACACAAUAAGUAAUCCACCUGGGGAGUACGACCGCAAGGUUGAAACUCAAAGGAAUUGACGGGGGCCCGCACAAGCAGUGGAGUAUGUGGUUUAAUUCGACGCAACGCGAAGAACCUUACCAAGUCUUGACAUCCCUUGACGAUGCUGGAAACAGUAUUUCUCUUCGGAGCAAGGAGACAGGUGGUGCAUGGUUGUCGUCAGCUCGUGUCGUGAGAUGUUGGGUUAAGUCCCGCAACGAGCGCAACCCUUAUGGUCAGUUACUACGCAAGASGACUCUGGCCAGACUGCG